rnacentral:lncRNA from 1 species
AGAAGGAGAGGGAGAGGGGAGUUUACUUUUGGAGAGGACAGAGUUUACUGUUGGUUGAAGAGUACGUAGGGGGAAGAAAAUAAUAAAAAAAAAUAUAAUGAGAUGGGCGAGAAUUUGCAUGGAUUGUUUAGAGGCAGAGUGGAUAAUUUUUAAAAGGCUAGAUUACAGAAACCUCUAUGUUAAAAUUUAAUUUUUCACUUUUCCUUCUUGUCAUUUAAAAAUUUAUAUUUUGCUCACUUAUAAAAAAUAUAUGAAAUUUGAUUUCUAAACACUUCAAGUGGUAUAGAUCAUAUUAAACGGUGCCGAUCAUCAAUUCAGAAGCUCCAUCAUCAAAAACAAAUGAGUGGCGACGGAGACCGUUUGCUAUCGAUAGCAUUCUAGCUCAACUAUAUAUAUA